CCAGACUCCUACGGGAGGCAGCAGUGGGGAAUAUUGGACAAUGGGGGGAACCCUGAUCCAGCGACGCCGCGUGAGUGAAGAAGUAUUUCGGCAUGUAAAGCUCUAUCAGCAGGGAAGAAAGGAAUGACGGUACCUGACUAAGAAGCCCCGACUAACUACGUGCCAGCAGCCGCGGUAAUACGUAGGGGGCAAGCGUUAUCCGGAUUUACUGGGUGUAAAGGGAGCGUAGACGGUUACGCAAGUCUGGAGUGAAAGGCGGGGGCCCAACCCCCGGACUGCUUUGGAAACUGUAUAACUGGAGUGCAGGAGAGGUAAGUGGAAUUCCUAGUGUAGCGGUGAAAUGCGUAGAUAUUAGGAGGAACACCAGUGGCGAAGGCGGCUUACUGGACUGUAACUGACGUUGAGGCUCGAAAGCGUGGGGAGCAAACAGGAUUAGAUACCCCUGUACG
rnacentral:rRNA from 1 species